UACGUAGGUGGCGAGCGUUGUCCGGAUUUACUGGGCGUAAAGAGCGCGCAGGCGGUCGUUCAAGUCGCGUGUGAAAGCCCCGGGCUCAACCUGGGAAUGGCAUUGGAAACUGGCGGGCUUGAGUGUGGCAGAGGGGGGUGGAAUUCCGCGUGUAGCAGUGAAAUGCGUAGAGAUGCGGAGGAACACCGAUGGCGAAGGCAGCCCCCUGGGCUGACACUGACGCUCAGGCACGAAAGCGUGGGGAGCAAACAGG
rnacentral:rRNA from 1 species